AUUGCUGAGAAAUUCCUAAGGAAUAUUUUCCUAGGGCAGCAAUCGGCCUCUGAGAAAACUCCAUGGUCCAGUUCCAGUCCCCAUCCUGCGCAAAUAGUAGCAGUUCCAUUUUAAUGAUUAUGCAACAGAAAAAGAGUGUGAAUACUUUAUUUACUUUGAAGAAAGGGAAAGAAAUAUGGAGAUUCAGUUGCUGUUGAAAGGGGAAUUACCUCCAUACACCAGCAAAGAAUAUGCAAAAUCAGAUGCUCCAAAGUUCACACCAUCAAAAACAAAGGCUAUUGAGUUGAUAGGUUGUGUAGCUGCAACGAACUGGUGGAGAGAUACAAAGGAAAAUUCAGUUCAAGUUAUUGAUACCCAAAU